rnacentral:rRNA from 1 species
UACGGGGGGGGCAAGCGUUGUUCGGAAUUACUGGGCGUAAAGGGCUCGUAGGCGGCCAACUAAGUCAGACGUGAAAUCCCUCGGCUUAACCGGGGAACUGCGUCUGAUACUGGAUGGCUUGAGUGUGGGAGAGGGAUGCGGAAUUCCAGGUGUAGCGGUGAAAUGCGUAGAUAUCUGGAGGAACACCGGUGGCGAAGGCGGCAUCCUGGACCAUGAAUGACGCUGAGUGAGCGAAAGCCAGGGGAGCAAACGGG